GACGAACGCUGGCGGCGUGCUUAACACAUGCAAGUCGAACGGAAAGGCCCUGCUUGCAGGGUGCUCGAGUGGCGAACGGGUGAGUAACACGUGGGUGAUCUGCCCCUUACUUUGGGAUAAGCCUGGGAAACUGGGUCUAAUACUGGAUAGGACCAUGCUGUAGGUGGUGUGGUGGAAAGAUUAGUUUCGGUAAGGGAUGAGCUCGCGGCCUAUCAGCUUGUUGGUGGGUAAUGGCCUACCAAGGCGUCGACGGGUAGCCGGCCUGAGAGGGUGGACGGCCACAUUGGGACUGAGAUACGGCCCAGACUCCUACGGGAGGCAGCAGUGGGGAAUAUUGCACAAUGGGCGCAAGCCUGAUGCAGCGACGCCGCGUGGGGGAUGACGGCCUUCGGGUUGUAAACUCCUUUCAGCCAUGACGAAGCCCUUGUGGUGACGGUAGUGGUAGAAGAAGCACCGGCUAACUACGUG
rnacentral:rRNA from 1 species